AUAUUUCGUCGUGAAUUUACAUGGCGUUUACGACGAAAGUUGGUCUCCUCGUAACUGCGUUGUAAACACCAUGUAAAUUUACGACGAAAUAUUUUCGUCGUAAAUCUUCGUUGUUAUUGGCACGUUUUCUUGUAGUGAAGGCUAUUCAUUGUCUCUUGUUUGCAAUGAACCUCGCCGGUCAAGCUCUCUCUCUCUCUGAUUUUGUUUUGAUUUUUGUUUGGCCUUUUCAUAUUCUGCUGAGAUUUGAUCAGUCUGUUGUUUGUGGUGUUGAAAUCUGAUAAAAUAGAGUUCUUUGAUCACAAUUCUGAGUUUAGACUUUUCAUAUUCUUGCAGAGAAAUCAGAUUUGAUCAGUCUGUUGUUUGUGGUGUUGAAAUCUGGUUGGGUUUGAGAAGAGUAAUUAAUCUGUUUCUGUUUAUGAUUGAUCUUAUUUCAAUUGAUUCUGUUAAGGAGAAAGUUGUUACCUUUUUUACAGUAUGUUGUACAAAGAUUGAAUCUUAAUAUGUGUGAAUGUGUUACUCUCCGCCUACUUGAAUGAAGUAUUAGACUCUGAUUCCUCUUGUUCUUACAGUUUUUUUUUAUGACUUAAGUGGAUGUUUUUAUCUACAGGUGCUUCCUUCAAUUUUGUUUGUGAAGGCUAAUAAGGCAGAGUUUCUGAGACUGUGAGGUUUCAGAGGUUUGCUAGUGCUGAUCUGUCUGAACGUUUUAAGAAGAAGAAAUUUAAGUCGCUUAUCCCUCAGAUCGUUCAAGUUAUUUAUCUCGGAUCUUUGUCUGUGUUCUCAGUUAGAGCUGUGACACUUGCAGGCUCUUAUUUAAGCUCAGGUGUGAUUGUGUCCUUUAUGACAUCAUUAGCUUUCUUGAUCGAGCCUGUCCAUGCAUAUACAAAUCUACUUUUGCUUAGUUCAGUAUACUUGAGAAUCUAAAGAAGGUUUAUACAUAACUAUCUCUCUCUUUUACUUUCACUUGUAUGCUACUAACUCUAUGGUAUAUAGCCCCAAAAGUUCUUCCACGGUUUGCCUUUACUUCUUGUAUAUAGAUGUACGCAAUGAAGGCACCUUUGUGCUCCACACUGAAAAUAGUAAGAAAACAAUGGAAGCUGCAGUGGUAGUGAGCAGAGGAGGCGACUGCGGUAACUAGCAAAAAUUGCUUCUCAACACUUGAUUGCAGAGAUGUAAGGGCUGGACCUUGAAGACUGUCGUGAAAAAGAGCCUCUUGGUCAUGGGUUCUAUGCAGACUUCACUAUGGCAACAAGGAUAACAAUGCAAGACUUCAUCACCGAGUGUGUUGUAUUUUGCUUUGAAUUCAUGUGUUUGAUGAAUUGAUUUUGUAUGUUUUGAAUCUUUAAUGGAAAAGCAUAUUGUAUUUUAUGAUUUAUUUAUGUUUUAUUAGAGAAAAUUAUAUUUUUUAAUCAUAUUGCAAUAUAUAUUUUAAAGAUUUUAUCAUUUCUAUUUAUAAACUUAUAUAUAAUUUUAACAAAGUGACUAGCUAGACUUAUUUUAACCCCUAAACUCUAAAUAUAUUUUUAACCCCUAGACCAUAAAUAUAAUCAAAGUCUAAAUUUUGAACUUUAAAAAAAAAUUAAAAACUUUUAAUCUUUAUAUGAAAAGACAGUUCAAUAUAAAUAUAAUAAUGCAACCUGAAUCCAUCUAAUACCCUAAAUCUAAUUCCCUAAACCCUAAAGUUCAAGCUUGAAUGAUAUUCUAAAUACUAUAUAACGUCUUUUUCUGAUUUUAAACCCAACAUUUAAACUUAAACUUUAAAUCUAAUUUUUAAAACUCCAUUCAAAUCUUAAAUGUAAACCUUAAAUUCGCCAUCAAAUUCUAUGCCCUAAAUCCUAACUUCAAACAUAAGCCAUUCAUCCACUAAAUAUAUACUUCCAAUCUAAAUUUUUAGAAUUUAACAAACUUGAAAUCUGAAUCUUAAUCACAAAUUCCUUUACAUACAACUCUAAACCUUAUACUUUCAUAACUCUAAACCUCUAAAUCAUAAUGAACUAUAUUUAGUAAAAACAACAGUGCUAUAUCAUAAACAUUGAAGAUACUCGUACUUAAAAAGUAAAUUGUAAAACUAAAAUUAUUUUUUAAUCCUAAACUAUUAAUUUAAUCUAAAAUGUUAAUCUUGUAAAUCUUAAACUUCACUUUAGAAUAAAUACUAAUCUACUAAAAUAUAUAUAUAGUAGUUUAGGGGUUUAUAUAGUACACUUCAAACCCUUAACAUUACACUUCAAACCCUAAACUCUACAUCCAAAUCUUAAUACAAACUAUCAAAUUAUAAUUUUCAAACAAUAAUCUCAAAUCUUAUCAUAACUCCAAGCCCCAUAUAUUCAGAUUAGUUAACUAAACUUCAAAUUUAAUAUUCUCUACUUAAAUCUUAAAUCUUAAAAAUAGCUCCACACUAAAAUUUAUUCCCAAUUUCAAAAUUGUAAAAUUUAAACUUAAAUUAUAAACUGCAAAAUAUAAAUUUUGAAUAAAACAUUACUUUAAACAAAGAUAAGCACAAAAAAAAUCAUCAAAUAAUGAAAUACAAGACACAAGAAAAUAAAAAAGAAAGACAAAGUUGUCUUGGCCAAUUAGAUCUAUAUACACGGAUUACCUUCUCAACCGUUAGAUUAUAUUAAAUCAAAGGUCAAGAUUCUUUUUUUUUCUUUUUUCAUUUUCCCUCACUGGCUCCCUCUCUCUGCCGACAGAUCCUUUUUUUUUAGUCUUUUCAUCUUCUUUGCUCUCAUCUCUCCCAUCGAUUUUGAAGCCUCGAUUUCGUGUCUACGGCCUUGUUCUCUUCCUCAAGUUGAUGCCAUCCCGUUUUGGUCCUCUCUUCCCCAGAAUCCAUCGUUUACGGCCUCUUUGGAGAGAGAGGAGACCGAGAGAAUAAAGAAGAGAUAAAGUUCGGCCGGGGGUGCUCUUCAUCUUGUCUCUGAUAUUUGUUUGGUCGUUUCAUAUUCUGCUGAAAUUUAAUCGAUCUGUUGUUUGUGGUGUUGAGAUCUGUUAAAAUAGAGUUCUUUGAUCACAAUUCUGAGUUUUGAGUUUUCAUAUUCUUGCAGAGAAAUCAGAUUUGUGUUUGCUUGUGUAGAAUCUGUGCUAUCUGUUUCUGUUUUGGUUUGAGAAGAUUGAUUAAUCUGUUUCUGUUUAUGACUGAUCUUAUUUCAAUUGAUACUCUUAAGUUUAAGACAAUUUUGAAAUUAAUCUAAGCUGUUUAGGAUUUGAGUUUCAAUUUGAUCAGUUUCUGAUAGUGUAAAAGUUUGAAGUUUAAGUUUUAGAUUUCAAAAUUAAUUUAAUUUUUGAUUUGUUUGUUCUUGUUACAGGAAGAAGCCGAAUAUGAAGAAGCUUUGUUGGUGGAGAUGGAUCCGAGCAAGAAGAAGAAAGAGAGAAAGAGGGAGAAGACAUAGACGUAAGGAAGAUGGAAGAGGAAGGUGACGAAAGAGGAAGGCAGCGGCGUAGAUUAGGUUUAGUUUUGGUUGGUUUAUUAUGUUUCGUUUAGAUAGGGUUAAUUUAAUAAACCGGUUUGUGUGUAAACCAAAUUUAAGAAAUAAACCGAUAUUAAUUGUAAACCAGUUAUUUGUAUACUGAUUUUAAUUAAUAAAUAAAAUUUAAUUUUUAA